rnacentral:lncRNA from 1 species
UAUACCCUCGUAUCACUCUCUCUGCUAAUUUUCAUUGACAUUGAAAAGUGAUAAAAAAUAUGAAGAGCAAUAUAUUUUGGAUGGAGUGCUUAUCUUCAUUUUUUAUGUGAUUGACCCAAUCUACCCUCACCUUUUUCUUCUUCUUAUACAUAACAAUGACAACAAUCUCACUUCAUCUUCUCAUAUCACCAUUUCAUACACCAAAACACAACACCAUACAAAUCUUUCAACCUUCAUAAUAUUAUCACAUAACCAAACACUUGCUCAUCUCUCUUUCAUAACAUGUGAUAACCACCACCACCAUGAACCAUAAAUCUUCAUAAAUCUCACAACCAUAGCACAACUAUAAACCUUGUCAUUAUUAACACAUACACACAUAUUAAAGAAAAAACUCAAUAAAAUAACAACCACUCAUAAUUGAGAAUGAACAGAAGGUGAGAUCCGCACAACCGCCGUCGCGUAAACCACCGGAAAACGACCGCCAACCGCCUCUCCGGAACCCACGUAGAACUUCCAUUCUCCGUG